AUUAAGAGUAUAUGGCGGAUGCCUUGACAUAAGAGAACGAUGAAGGACGUAGCAGCCUGCGAUAAGCUUCGGUGAGGUGGCAAGCAACCCUUGACCCGAAGAUUUCCGAAUGGGGAAACCUCCCCGGUUGUAGACCGGGGGUCCGCUGGCUGAACACAUAAGCCAGUGAGACGAUUACCCGGUGAAUUGAAACAUCUUAGUAGCCGGAGGAAAAGAAAAAAAGCCUGAGCAAUCAGGAAUAUUCCGUGAGUAGUGGCGAGCGAAAACGGAGGAGUCUAAACCGAUUUAACCGCGUCGCGUGGUGCACUUGUGCAUUUUACGCGACAGAAGGAUUCAGGUCCAUAUGUUUUUUCGGUGUUGCAAGAAUAUGCUUUCAUUUCCUGUAUUAAAUGGGGCAGAGACAUAACAAUAACAUCCCUAGUUGAAGCGAGCUGGAAAGCUCCGCCAGAGAAGGUGAAAGCCCUGUAACAGCAAAAGGGGUUAUUGCUCUGCGGCAUAUCUCUUAAGUACUGCGGGACUCGUGAAAUCCCGUGGGAAGCCGGGUCGACUAUGACCCAAGACUAAAUAUCUCUUAUGAUCGAUAGUGAACAAGUACCGUGAGGGAAAGGUGAAAAGCAGCCCGGUGAGGGCGGUGAAAUAGUACCUGAAACCAUAUACUUACAAGGAGUUGGAGCCCCGGUUCGCCGGGGUGACAGCGUGCCUAUUGAAGAAUGAGCCAACGAGUUUGUUCUAUGUGGCUUGACUAAGUUCCGUUUGGAAUGGAGUCGAAGUGAAAGCGAGGGUUAAUAGCCCGUAUCCACUUAUUUUGCAGAUACCAGGCCUUCUGGUGGCUGCAAAAUAACGUGGAAUGUCGCAUGGACAAGACCCGAAGCCGGGUGAUCUAGCCAUGGCCAGGUUGAAGUAGUACGAAAGUACUAUGGAGGACCGAACCCACAAGCCGUUCAAUACUUGGGGAUGAGCUGUGGCUGGCGGAGAAAUUCCAAUCGAACUCGGCAAUAGCUGGUUCUCCUCGAAAUAGCUUUAGGGCUAGCGUCGGAUGCUGACUACUGGGGGUAGAGCACUGAAUGAGACAGGGGCCGCAAGGUACCCUUCUUAACCAAACUCCGAAUACCAGUAGGUGAAGUCCGGCAGUCAGACUAUGGGGGCUAAGCUUCAUCAGUCAAAAGGGAAACAGCCCAGACCGCAAUCUAAGGUCCCAAAAUAUAUGCUAAGUGUAAAAGGUGGUGUCGCGACUGCGACAACUAGGAGGUUGGCUUAGAAGCAGCCAUCCUUUAAAGAUAGCGUAAUAGCUCACUAGUCUAGUUGUCUCGCGCCGAAAAUGUACCGGGGCUAAGCAUAUUACCGAAGAUGCGGGCCAGCUAUGCUGGUAGACACGAAGAAAACGAAAAAUUACGAAAAAAACGAAAAAUAUUAGUUUCGUUACUUUCGUUUAAUUUCGUUAAGUUUCGUGUUUACCAGCAUAGCUGGCGGUAGAGGAGCAUUCUAUACGCGCAGAAGCCGAAUUGUGAAGUUUGGUGGAGCUUAUAGAAGAGAGAAUGUUGGCAUGAGUAGCAAAAAGGCGGGUGAGAACCCCGCCCACCGUAAGUCUCAGGGUUCCUGGGCAACGUAAAUCGUCCCAGGGUUAGUCGGUCCUAAGGCGAGGCCUCUGUAGUGGGGGCGUAGUGCGCGAUCCAGGCAAAUCCGGAUCAACAGCGCGGAGAAAUCGACUAAAGAUGAAGCCUCGGCGGAUUCAAAUAAGCAAAAGAGCUGCCUAGAAAAACCUCUAGGGCUAAGGCUGCAGCAACCGUACCGCAAACCAACACAGGUAGACGAGGCGAGUAGCCUCAGGUGAACGAGAGAAUCUUCGUUAAGGAACUCGGCAAAACAGCGGCCGUAAUUUAGAGAUAAGGCCUGCCCAUAGCAAUAUGGGCCGCAGCUAAAGAAGCCCGAGCGACUGUUUAUCAAAAACACAGCUCCCUGCUAACUCGUAAGAGGAUGUAUAGGGGGUGACGCCUGGCCAGUGUCCGAACGUUAAGGGGAGAGGUUAGACCUUCGGGUUGAAGCUUUGAACUGAAGCGCGGAUGAACGCCGGCCGUAACUAUAACGGUCCUAAGGUAGCGAAAUUCCUUGUCAGGUAAGUUCUGACCUGCACGAAUGGCGUAACGACUUGGGUACUGUCUCAACGAAGAACUCGGCGAAAUUGCAAGACGAGUAAAGAUGCUCGUUAACCAUAGCUGGACGAAAAGACCCCGUGAAGCUUUACUAUAGCUUAAUAUUGGGUUAUGACUAUGCAUGUUCAGAAUAGGUGGGAGCCGCAAGGCAACAGUGAGAUACCACCCUUGUAUAUUUGUAACCCUAACCCUCAGGCCUUGAAUCAGGUCAGGGGACAGUAUUUGGUGGGUAGUUUGUCUGGGGCGGAUGCCUCCCAAAGAGUAACGGAGGCGUUUACAAAGGUUGGCUAUCCCGGAAUGGAAACCCGGGAGAUAGUGUAAAGGCAAAAGCCAGCUUUACUGCAAGACCAGCAAGUCGAGCAGUUGCGAAAGCAGAACUUAGUGAUCCGACCGUUCGAUAUAGGACGGCGGAAGCUCAUCGGAUAAAAGCUACUCCGGGGAUAACAGGCUAGUCACGCCCAGUCGUAAGACAGGUCGGUCUCCUAUCCACUAUGGUCGUGGAAACUUGAGAAGGCUCUUCCCUAGUACGAGAGGACCGGGAAGGACGAAGCUCUAGUGUGCCGGCUGUCCCACCAGGGGCAUUGCCGGGUAGCUACCUUCGGUUUGGAUAAGCGCUGAAGGCAUAUAAGCGCGAAGCCGUCUUCAAGAUUAGGUUUCAUAGAGUCGUCGGAGAACACGACGUUAAUAGGCUCUAGGUGUAAGUGCAGUAAUGCAUUCAGCCGAGGAGUACUAAUCACUCAAAUGAUUU
rnacentral:rRNA from 2 species